rnacentral:rRNA from 1 species
AUGAACGCUAGCGAUAGGCUUAACACAUGCCAGUCGAGGGGCAGCACAAGGUAGCUUGCUAUCUGGGUGGCGACCGGCGCACGGGUGCGUAACGCGUAUGCAACUUGCCCUAUACAGGAGGAUAACCCGUCGAAAGACGGACUAAUACUGCGUAUGCUCACAACUUGGCAUCAAGUGGUGAGGAAAGAAAUUCGGUAUAGGAUAGGCAUGCGUCCCAUUAGCUUGUUGGUGAGGUAACGGCUCACCAAGGCAACGAUGGGUAGGGGAACUGAGAGGUUUAUCCCCCACACUGGUACUGAGACACGGACCAGACUCCUACGGGAGGCAGCAGUGAGGAAUAUUGGUCAAUGGGCGCGAGCCUGAACCAGCCAAGUCGCGUGAAGGAUGACUGUCUUAUGGAUUGUAAACUUCUUUUAUACGGGAAUAACAAGAGUCACGUGUGACUCCCUGCAUGUACCGUAUGAAUAAGCAUCGGCUAACUCCGUG